AGGUCAUGCAUAUGGCAAAAAGUGAGUGAGUACCAGUGGCUGUGUGUUGAUUUACCAUCGGCAUCAGAGCUUACACCAUCCAACCUGGAAACCCAACUGUGUGCUCCAUCCAUCACCAACCCAGAGCCAGCCCCCACUGCAUCCCCAGUAGCCCUGCAGGCAGCAGCAGGCAGCAUCCACCAGGAGUUAGGUGCUGCUGGAGCAAGCCCAGAGAGCUUUGCACUCCUGAGGACUCCAGAAAAAUUCCAUCAUUUGUGAAGACAGUCACAGAGAUAGGACAUCAGAUGGUCUGGUCCUGCUGAAUGUGCCUGGGCUGCUCUACCUCUCCCUGACACUGUAGUUAUUCAGAGAGAAGGCAAAGAAGGUUCUGUGUGCAGACCUUCAAAGACUGUGGGUAUGCCUAACUGUAUUCAUGUUAGGUGCCCUUUGACUUCAGCCACAACAGAGGUGAUCCCAUCGCAAGUGAAGGAAACUUCCACAAGGAUAGCUAUGUUAAAAAAAAUAAAUAAAUUAGAAAAUUAAAAUAAA